ACGGUGAGUAACACGUAUCCAACCUGCCGUCUACUCUUGGCCAGCCUUCUGAAAGGAAGAUUAAUCCAGGAUGGCAUCAUGAGUUCACAUGUCCGCAUGAUUAAAGGUAUUUUCCGGUAGACGAUGGGGAUGCGUUCCAUUAGAUAGUAGGCGGGGUAACGGCCCACCUAGUCAACGAUGGAUAGGGGUUCUGAGAGGAAGGUCCCCCACAUUGGAACUGAGACACGGUCCAA
rnacentral:rRNA from 1 species